rnacentral:rRNA from 1 species
CCUACGGGAGGCAGCAGUGAGGAAUAUUGGUCAAUGGGCGUAAGCCUGAACCAGCCAAGUCGCGUGAGGGAUGAAGGUUCUAUGGAUCGUAAACCUCUUUUAUAAGGGAAUAAAGUGCGGGACGUGUCCCGUUUUGUAUGUACCUUAUGAAUAAGGAUCGGCUAACUCCGUGCCAGCAGCCGCGGUAAUACGGAGGAUCCGAGCGUUAUCCGGAUUUAUGGGGUUUAAGGGGUGCGUAGGCGGCCUUUUAAGUCAGCGGUGAAAGUCUGUGGCUGAACCAUAGAAUUGCCGUUGAAACUGGGAGUCUUGAGUAUGUUUGAGGCAGGCGGAAUGCGUGGUGUAGCGGUGAAAUGCUGAGAUAUCACGCAGAACCCCGAGUGCGAAGGCAGCCUGCCAAGCCAUGACUGACGCUGAUGCACGAAAGCGUGGGGAUCAAACAGGAUUAGAUACCCCAGUAGUC